UACGGGGGGGUGCAAACGUUGCUCGGAAUCAUUGGGCGUAAAGCGCACGUAGGCGGUUCGUUAUGUCGGAUGUGAAAGCCCUUGGCUUAACCGAGGAAGUGCAUCCGAAACUGGCGAGCUAGAGUACGAAAGAGGAUCGCGGAAUUCCCGGUGUAGAGGUGAAAUUCGUAGAUAUCGGGAGGAACACCGGUGGCGAAGGCGGUUCUCUGGGACGGUACUGACGCUGAGACGCGAAAGCGUGGGGAGCGAACAGG
rnacentral:rRNA from 1 species